rnacentral:lncRNA from 1 species
CACAGGCGGGGUCGGGGUUCUGUGGGGUUCCUCUCCCGAAACUGUCAGGGAGUCCCCGUGGGCCGGGGGAGCGCCUGUCCCGGUCCUGCUGCGUUUGCCCACCGCCGGGGAAGGUGGCUCUUGGCUGCUGGGGGCAAGGAAACCCGGGCACCUCCCGCCCCACCCGUUCCUACCCUCGGGAGGAGUUGCCGGUUCUGUGCAGGGGCCUGGGCAGGGGACAGAACUCCACGGCUUGAGGAGAAAGGGUCUCUUUGAGUGGAGGGGUGAAGAUGGCGUUUCCAGUAAGCUGGAGAUAGGGGGGACACGUCCCUUGGGUGUGCGACUUCAGCCGUGCAGCGUUUCACCAAAGAAUUAA